rnacentral:rRNA from 1 species
AGUUUGAUCAUGGCUCAGAACGAACGCUGGCGGCAUGCCUAACACAUGCAAGUCGAACGAGACCUUCGGGUCUAGUGGCGCACGGGUGCGUAACGCGUGGGAAUCUGCCCUUGGGUUCGGAAUAACAGCGAGAAAUUGCUGCUAAUACCGGAUGAUGACGUAAGUCCAAAGAUUUAUCGCCCAAGGAUGAGCCCGCGUAGGAUUAGCUAGUUGGUGAGGUAAAGGCUCACCAAGGCGACGAUCCUUAGCUGGUCUGAGAGGAUGAUCAGCCACACUGGGACUGAGACACGGCCCAGACUCCUACGGGAGGCAGCAGUGGGGGAAUAUUGGACAAUGGGCGCAAGCCUGAUCCAGCCAUGCCGCGUGAGUGAUGAAGGCCUUCGGGUUGUAAAGCUCUUUCGCACGCGACGAUGAUGACGGUAGCGUGAGAAGAAGCCCCGGCUAACUUCGUG